CAGAGAAACACACAGUGCAGGCUGAACUCUCACAACACUGGGGCUAAGAGUGCAAAAGCAGAAGAUAGAAGCCCAAAAAGACUGAAGAAAAAGAACAUCAGAAGCAAUGGGAAUAUGGGUGGACAAGUCAGAGAGAAGAAGGAGCACUGCUGUACCCGGUAUUCCUAUGACAUGAAAAGUCAUAGAUGUUUGUUCCUUGGAGCUGAUGGAGCUCCCUCUCCAUCACCAGUGAUGGAAGCGGUGCAACAAGGACCACAGGUCCUGCUCACAUUGCCUUCCAACUAUUCCAAGACCACUCCAUCAUCCACCUGCAUGGUCCCUUACAAGAGAAGUCCUUGGGAAGAUUUGGCCAAAGAGGUGCUACAGGGAUGCAGAAAAAGGCGCAAGAGCAUCUGCCACUGUAAUUAUAUUAUAAAGAUAAAAGAGAG
ensembl:lncRNA